CCAAGAAGCUGAUAAGCUGCUGUGAACCCUCCAGGGCGAGUAAGGUAUGAUCCAUCUUCCCUGUCUGGACAAGCUUGAUCUGGCCUCCCUCCUCCUGCUUUAGCAGGCCUGAGGUUUGAGUGCUGUGAAGUUCUCCUUUAAACUUGUAUGGGGAUUGGACUUGGCAGUGAUUUAAGAUCUCUGUGGUGGAGCCAGUGAAUCCAUAUGUUUACAACUUUUCCAAGGUGAUUUUGAUGUCUAGCCCUGGUUGGAACAUGGUCCAGAACACCUAGAUUCUAGGAUUUUCAGGAAUAAGAGAGAGAGAGACGGCACCUCAACAAGAACUUGAGUUCACCUCCUGCUUCAGCCAGCCUCAUAUGACAGGCACACACUUGCCUGGCAUGUGUUCAGGAAGAUCUUCAGCUGUAAACCCGGAACUUUCCCAGGUGAACUCUUCUCAACCAAGUAAGAUGCUCCGGUGCUGAGGACCUACUAGGCGCCCAGUAGGGACAGCUCAAUGGAAACAUUAGCACCUCACCUCUGCACAGACCCUGCAUUCCUUCUAAUUCUUCAACUACUUAAGAAUCUACAGAGGACUAUGAGUGCACACCCAAGAGUAAAUUGUUCCCAAGGGGCAGAGGAGAACAUGUCAUUGUACAGUGCAAGCACACUGAUGAAGAGAAAAAGAAGUAUUAAGAGAGCUUAAGUGGGAAGAUCACACACUGCUGAUUUCUGACAUCAUAUCCAUGAGAUCCACACAGUAGGGAAGUGCUAACCUUGGAAUCCAAUGGUUACCCCAACUAUCAUUUGACUUAAGGAUUUUACUGUUCCCUGCUCUUUCAUGUACAUUUGAGGUACUCUAGCAUCAAGGGAAUGAACCUGAAAAGAGAAAUCUAACGAGUAUUUUAUGCAAGAAUAAUAGAGACCUAAAAGUACACUUCCUCAUAUGCAAGGAAGCUAUUUCCUAGAAUCCUUGAGCUAUAAAAAGCCUAAGUGAAUUUGCUUAAGUUAAUAAAUUUUAUUUAAUUAUGAUCAUCCCACAGCAAGUGUUUUAUAUUUCCUCUCUUUUUAUUGCUUCCUCUUAGUUACUGAAACAAGAACUUCAAUGUUACUAUUUUGUGCUCUGAUAAUGAUGAGGCUGUCUCAUUUGUUCCAUCUGUGCUUCACAAUGUAUGACUGUGUGUGUAUAUAAUUAAAUUGAAUAAGACAGCUGUAUUGUAUGGUUGCUACAAACAGAUGUAAGGCUAAAGAUGGGGCCCAAUGUUAUAGGAGCAAAAUCCCAUCCUAAGUUGCUCCCUCUGUUUUGGCAUUCAUUGUCUGCACUAGGGGGAGAAACUAACCUUCACUUCUCAAAAAUGAUGUGAAAAAUCUGCGGUGUGAACCUAUUCUCUUUUCAUCACCCUUGGGUGAGAGUGAAGUUCUCCAGUUGAAUUAAAGGGACCAGUUUGUCUUGGUUUAUUCAUGUCCCAUAUUCCUAGGAAAAGCCUGGGCACUCCUGGGUCAACUGAUGGAGUCUAGCAGCCCUAUAUGCUUCUUCCCCAGUAGUGAUGUUGGUGAUGGUUUAGCUGACAACACCUGAGUGUGGUAUCUUCUCUCACUUACUCCUCACAGCUUCCUUUCAAGGCUGGUGU